UGAGGAAUAUUGGACAAUGGGUGCAAGCCUGAUCCAGCCAUCCCGCGUGAAGGAUUAAGGACCUAUGGUUUGUAAACUUCUUUUGUACAGGGAUAAACCUAUCUACGUGUAGAUAGCUGAAGGUACUGUACGAAUAAGCACCGGCUAACUCCGUGCCAGCAGCCGCGGUAAUACGGAGGGUGCAAGCGUUAUCCGGAUUUAUUGGGUUUAAAGGGUCCGUAGGCGGAUCUAUAAGUCAGUGGUGAAAGCCGACAGCUUAACUGUCGAACUGCCGUUGAUACUGUAGGUCUUGAGUAAAUUUGAAGUGGCUGGAAUAAGUAGUGUAGCGGUGAAAUGCAUAGAUAUUACUUAGAACACCAAUUGCGAAGGCAGGUCACUAAGAUUUAACUGACGCUGAUGG
rnacentral:rRNA from 1 species